UACGUAGGGUGCUAGCGUUGCUCGGAAUCACUGGGCGUAAAGCGCACGUAGGCGGAUUGCUAAGUCAGGGGUGAAAUCCUGGAGCUCAACUCCAGAACUGCCUUUGAUACUGAGAAGCUUGAGUCCGGGAGAGGUGAGUGGAACUGCGAGUGUAGAGGUGAAAUUCGUAGAUAUUCGCAAGAACACCAGUGGCGAAGGCGGCUCACUGGCCCGGUACUGACGCUGAGGUGCGAAAGCGUGGGGAGCAAACAGG
rnacentral:rRNA from 1 species